rnacentral:lncRNA from 1 species
UACAGCUUUGUGGGAAAAGGACUCAAAUCAACUUUUGCAUCAUUUCUACAGCCAGAACCAGCUGCAUUUGGAACUAACUGCCUCUCAUUUGUUUACAAGAUGUUGAGAUUAUCCUGGAUUAUUUGAGUGGGCCCUAAGUGCAACCUAUGUAUCCUCAUAAGAAGGAGAUCUGACACAGAAGAAGAGGAGAAGGCAACAGGACCAAAGAGGCAGAGGCAGAGAUUUGAAGGAUGUGACCAUAAGGCUAAGAGUGUUGGCUGCUACCAAAGCUGCGCGAGCCCCCUGAAAUCUUCAGAUCUACAAUACUUUGAUAUGCUCCAUUCCUGAACAUCUAGUAGAUGUCUUCAGAAACCACCGGAGGCAUCCACAUCUCUAGCAGAGCUGCAACAAUGACAGAAUCUAUACUAGUUCAGGAAAGCAAGGCACUUGCCUCUGAGGACAAAAAGGAAGGGGCAUCAAAAAGCCUCAUUAACCAAGAUAACUUCACCAACAACUGCCUGGAGACCAACAUCAUCUGUCCCAGAUAAGGUUCUUGAUUUCACACAGCAGAAACUAGCCUUGUUGCCUUUAGCAAAUAAAGGAAUUUAUAAGGACAUGGGAGCCAACAGAAUGCACUGAAGACUGCAGGAGCAAGCUUGGAAAAUAAGCAAAAACCAAAGAUUUCCUGGAGGCUAGGCUGGAGGAGGAAUGUGGCCUGAUGAGGCCAUGGCUGCUGCCUCUGACUACUAUAGGACGUUGUUGCUGGAUAUCGACUACCAAUGAACAAGUGUGGUAAUAAGCCUCCAAAAUAGUACCUGAUGAUCUUCACUCUCAAGUUCACACACCC